GUUGAACGCUGGCGGCGGGCCUAACACAUGCAAGUCGAGCGGAUGAAGGGAGCUUGCUCCUGGAUUCAGCGGCGGACGGGUGAGUAAUGCCUAGGAAUAUGCCUGGUUGUGGGGGAUAACGUCCGGAAACGGGCGCUAAUACCGCAUACGACCUGCGGGAGAAAGUGGGGGAUCUUCGGACCGUACGCUCUCAGAGGAGCCUAGGUCGGGUUAGCUAGUUGGUGGGGUAAAGGCCUACCAAGGCGCCGAUCCGUAACUGGUCUGAGAGGAUGAUCGGCCACACUGGAACUGAGACACGGUCCAGACUCCUGAGGGAGGCAGCAGUGGGGAAUAGUGGACAAUGGGCGAAAGCCUGAUCCAGCCAGGCCGCGUGUGUGAAGAAGGUCUUCGGAUUGGAAAGCACUUUAAGUGGGGAGGAAGGGCAGUAAGUUAAUACCUUGCUGUUUUGACGUUACCAACAGAAGAAGCACCGGCUAACUUCGUG
rnacentral:rRNA from 1 species